rnacentral:lncRNA from 1 species
CUUUUGGCUCUAACAGCACUUAAAUGUAUUCAACUCUCCCUUGCUAUAGAUGUCGACAACUUCCCUUUACCUUCUUCCUCUCAGCUACCUCCCCAUUUUCCUCUUUCUCUCAAUUUAUUCAAAGAACUUCAAAGAAGCUCAACGGUGCUUGGCUAUUAUUAAUUUUUUUUUUUUUUUUUUUUUUUUGUAGAGACGAGGUCUCGACCCGGCUGGUCUCGAACUUCUGGCCUCAAGAAAUCUACCUGCCUCAGCCUCUCAAACUGCUGGGAUUGCAGGCAUGAACCCUGGGGCUGGUCUGGGGAACUAUUACAUGCCCUGAGAUACAGAAGCACGCAAGACCAACAAGAUCCAUGAGCUUACAUUUGAAGGCAAAGAAAGCUGGAAAAUCUUAUGAAAUCAAUACCAGGAGGAAGGAGAAGACCUGUGAUCUGUUUCUUUCCCUUUAUGAGGAGAUGGUGUACAUGCCCAAGAAGGAGAGAAGAUAGGAGGCCAGGCACAGUAUCCUUGUGAACAUAUCUCUCCCCUGUGAGAAACCAGCCACCAUGUUGUAAGCAGCCCUGUGGCGAGACCCACAUGAGGAAGACCAGGGCUUGCCAACAUCCUCUGAAUGCACGUGGAAACAGAUCUCUGUCCCUCCCCUCAAGGCCCAGCUGUGCAUCCAAAUGAGAUCACAGCCUUUGUUGACAGCUUGACAGUCUCCUCAUGAGCCAGAGAAAUCAGCUAGGUGACUCUCAGAUUUCAGACGCACAGAAACUGUGAGAUAAUAAAUGCUUAUUGCUUUAAAUGCUAAAUUUUUGGGGUUAUUGAUUAUGCAGCAAUAGAUAAGAUAGAUGAAGUGUGCAAUGGGAAUGAUAAAUUCUACAGUGGGCCCUAGGUCACUGUAAACAGGAGCCACAGUGAUAUAAUCCCAAGUCUCCAGUGUGGCAUGAGGCUGAGAGCAUACUAGGGUUUAUCUAACUUCUUGGUUUUGAGUUUCUUUCCAUUUCCCUAGGCUGAGGCUAAAUUGGGAUUUGCUAUGGUGAGAAUGUGUCUUCUAAAUUUCAUGUAUUGGAAACUUUCCCCAAAUUUAUAUAUUAAUGAUAUUUGGAGGUAGGACUUUUGAGAGAUAACUAGGAUUAGAUAAGGUCAUAAAAGUGGGGUCUCCAUGAUGAGACUCAAGGCUUUAUAAAAAGAGGAGGAAGGAACUGAGUUGACGUGCUCUUGCCCUCUCGCCAUGUGGUACCUUCUGCCAUGUUAUGACACAUUAAGAAGGCCUUCAUCAGAUGCGGCUCCUUGAUUUUGGACUUCCUAGCCUCCAGACUGUAAGAAAUAAACUUGUUUUCUUUAUAAAUUACCCAGUCUAUUGUAUUCUGUCAUAG